rnacentral:lncRNA from 1 species
GGUCGCAAGACCCCAUAAGCUAUAAACUUGCUGCCUUUAAAGCAUUCUUCAACCGAAUCUUCACCCACAUCACUAGAUGGAAGGAUAAAAUUACAGAGCGGGAAUACAUCUAUACUCAUGGCCACAAAUACGGAUAUAGCACCAACAUAAUGGAUGGGGUGUGGCGGAAAGUAAUGAGGAAUGUAGAAAGAUCUAACCUCUGGUCACAACAUGCUCAACCGGAUGAUCCGUACAUGUUCACUAGUAUUACGUAUUAUGAAAACAUAGACCGUAUCUUGAGCAAGGCUCUCAGGCAUAAACAUACCAAAAUGAUAAAAAGACGAGGCUCCACCAUAUUUGAUGUGCUCUGCAACGGCAGGGAUCGUUUGAAU